GUAGGGAAUCUUGCGCAAUGGGCGAAAGCCUGACGCAGCCAUGCCGCGUGAAUGAUGAAGGUCUUAGGAUUGUAAAAUUCUUUCACCGGGGACGAUAAUGACGGUACCCGGAGAAGAAGCCCCGGCUAACUUCGUGCCAGCAGCCGCGGUAAUACGAAGGGGGCUAGCGUUGCUCGGAAUUACUGGGCGUAAAGGGCGCGUAGGCGGACAGCUUAGUCAGAGGUGAAAGCCCAGGGCUCAACCUUGGAAUUGCCUUUGAUACUGGCUGUCUUGAGUUUGGGAGAGGUGAGUGGAACUCCGAGUGUAGAGGUGAAAUUCGUAGAUAUUCGGAAGAACACCAGUGGCGAAGGCGACUCACUGGCCCAAUACUGACGCUGAGGCGCGAAAGCGUGGGGAGCAAACAGGAUUAGAUACCCCGGUAGUCC
rnacentral:rRNA from 1 species